rnacentral:tRNA from 2 species
GCCCGGAUGGCGGAACUGGUAGACGCAAGAGACUUAAAAUCUCUCGACUCUCGGGUCGUGCCGGUUCGAUCCCGGCUCCGGGCACCA